rnacentral:lncRNA from 1 species
CCUCAGCAGCCACAAUCUGCCUCUCCCCACUUAAUCUUCCUUAAAACCCCAGCCCAUACAGUCUCCCUGCCAGGCACAGUGACUCUCACAAAUGACUACAUUCAACCCAGAUCUUAUCCACCACCAAGACUCGAACACCCCAGACCCCAUCAGGGCUCAACACACAAUGCUGGUGAAUGUGAACAGUAGUGAAUUCGCAGGAGCCCCAGUCUCACUGUCAACCUGUCUCAUUUACUCCUCUGCCUCUGAAGUCAUCUCCCACCCACUCAUCCCAUGGAAGCCUUGGCCACCUGCCAGAUCAUGCUCUCUCCCACACCCUUCCAUGGCCACGGCCCUCCCUCACCUGUGUUUCUCAUACUCAGGAACCUCAACCAGGUGCUAAGCAACAGAAACAUUCCUCAGCAUGCACCCCAGUCUUUCUGACUCGCCAACAGCAUUAUCACUAUAUCCCGCGUUCCACUUCGUGAAUGUGAUCCACAGCUCCGCCCGGGUCCACACAAGAGCCACAGUAGCCAUUUGAGAGUCUCCAUCCUGAACCCCUCCCCAGAUUUCUAGACUUGGGUCUCCGGAUGCCCACUUGACGCCUCCACUCACUGUUCUCUGAAACAUGUCAGACUCUUAACACGGCCUGAAUAAAACUUCUGAUAUUCCCAAGGAAAAUAAACCUACCGACAACUUCCACAUCCCACUUGAUGGAGCUUCCAUCCCUUCAGCGGCUACAACCCAAAACCCUGCAGUCAUCCCUAACCUCUCCCUCAACUUUGUAGCUGUUAGUGCCAUCAAGUCAAUUCACACUCCUGGAGAUCCUGUGUGCAGCAGAGCAGAACCCUGUCCAGUCUUGUUUGCUCCAUCUUCUCAUCUUCCAGCAUUGUCAUAUCAGACGCUGCUCAGCUGCUAUUCAUACGAUUUUCAUGGCCAAGUUUUUUGGAAAUGGGUGGCCAGGUCUUUCUUCGCAGCCUGUUUCAAUCUGGAAGCUCCGCUGAAACCUGUCCACUAUGGGUGACUCUGCUGGUAUUUGAAGUACUGGUGGAACAGCUUUCAGCAUCACAGCAACAAGUAGCUGCCACGAUAUAACAUGUGACAGAAACACGGUGUGGUUCCCUGACAGGGAAACAAACCCAGACUGCCACAGUGAGAGCGCUGAAUCAACUGCUAGACCACCGGGGCUGGCCCUCCCUCAACUACAACAUCCUAAAAUUGACUUGGCCCGUCUUUAAAAACGGACCUAGAAUCCAAACUUUUCUCCCACCUCCGUGGCCACAACUCUGGUUCAUCAACACCGGGAUUACAGUAGUAGCCUCCUCCUGGGCUUUCUGCCUCCUCCAUUAACCCCACAGUCUGUGCUCUUCUCUGCACGAGAAGGAGCCUGUUAAGACCUGGAAUGGAGACCUGCUGUCCCCUGUCUCCAGCUCAGUCACACCUCCAAGCAUUUGCACACGCUGGUAUCCUGGGAUAACCUUCCACACCUGUUUAUAC